AUUCUGAUUAAUUUUUGGCUCAGGAUUCCUAAAUAUGCGGGUAAUACGGCUAGCAAAAGCUCAAGCAGGACUAAACAAUUCUAAUGAACUAUGCGAGAAUAUCACAUAGGAUAACAUGGCUGCCAACAGCUCUUUCUCUAAUUUCAAAAAGUUCCUUCUUACCCAUACGUAACAAAUUGCAUCCUGAGCUGACGAAAAUAGAAGUGACAGUACAGGUUAUCAGAUUCAUAUGCAAGGACGAUUGUCCAGAAGAUGGAUACAAAAGGACAAAUAUUUUCACAUCAUAACUAUAAAACUAUAAAGGUUUCAGUUUAAUUUUAUAGCUAAUUUGAGCACUUUUCAUCUGAGAAGCAGGCCUAUACUUUUAUAUUUUCUGAACUCUAAAUGGUUGAUGAAUUGACUGGGACGAUGAAGAUGGACUGGGACGUUUAAAAUCCAUUUUGACAUUUUGUUUUUGCUUUUGUUCGUGCGUUUAAAGUGAUUUCGCAUUCUUCGAAUUUGUUUUUGCGCUACUUUUGUCAGUCUUGUGAUUUCUAAAAUGUUAACAUAUUUUUUUGUUUAAUUUUUAUACAAUAUUUGUUAGCA